GCAGCCACAGUUCCCAACCAAGACGCCCUCUCCAUAGGCUCUCUCAGAACACAGCAGCUUGCUUCUUCAAUGUCAGCAAGAGAGGGAGGAGUCUGUGUACAAAUCUGCAAGCACGACUGUGUCUCUUAUGAGAUGGUGCUGAACAUCACUGCCCUGACUGAACCUGGGUUUCGAGAUGGAGGCAAUUCCUGAGGAAUGCUGUACCUGGACAGCCUGUGGUUUAACUACAGGGUGGAUUGCAAGGGCUUGUGUGACAAAUGUGUGAGUAUCAAAGAAGGUCAGGUAAGAAAGGGAGGGAGCUUUGU
rnacentral:lncRNA from 1 species